CCUCCAAGUACCCUGGGCCCAAACCAUUUAGGGCUUUAUAAUAAGCCCAACAAGAUUUGCAGGGAUUCUUCACCUCCCUAAUGCACCUUGACAGGAGAAGGAUUGCCAGUUGCAAAUGUGCCCCAGGUGGUAAAAAUUUCUUGGGGCAUCCCAGGAUCUCCUCCUGACCUUUAACCACAGCUCACCCCUCUGCCAUGCCUCCUCUCCACAGGUAGAGCAGCUCUUCUGCCUGGGCCUCAAAACACGGCUGGAGUGCCAGAAGGUUCUGGAGAUGUUCGACUGGAACCUGGAGCAGGCCAGCUCUCACCUGCUGGAUCCCUAUGGCGCCUUUCGGCUCAAGCGAUGACCAACGAUUGUACUCUGAAACAGAAGCGGUGGCCCAUGGUGGUCUUCCAUAGUUGAGCCUAUCCAGUGGACCCUCUCCAUCCAAGUCUUUGGACCGAGAACUGCCUCCAAAGCCGAGCGUAAUGGAACAGAGACAAACUGUGACUGUGGCUGGGGAACGCCGCUGUGAAAUGCUGGGCCAAACCAAUAUGCAUUGACCCUCCCCCCCAAAUGCCAACGAUUGUGCCCCUUCCCAUGGAUGCUGGCCGCUCCAUGUUGGCUUGCGCUGUUCCACCUCGCUUCCAACCAUUAUGCCCCUCGCUUGCUGUUGGAUUUAUUUUGUAAAGAGAAGUGUUACAUUAAUAUAUAAAUAUUCUAUUCUAUUUUGCAGAGAA